rnacentral:tRNA from 1 species
CGGCGGGUCGGCGAGGGCGCCGAGCUCCUCCAGGGAGGCCUGCUUGUGUUCCAUGCGCAGCCGGCCGGCC